ACUUUUAACAAUAGAUCUCUUAGUUCUAGCAUUAAUAAAGAACGCAGCGAAAUGCGAUAAGUAGUGUAAAUUGUAGAAUUUAGUAAAUUAUUAAAUCUUUAAACGUAUAUUGCGCCCCUUAGUAUUCUAUAGGGCAUACCUAUUUAAGCGUUAUUUGUACCCUUAAGCUCUACUUAGUGUUAGGUGUUUGUUCUACUUAGGACUUGCCUUAAAACAAUUAGCAGCUAGCAUAUUAGCCUAGAGCGUAGCAUAUUUUGCGCCUCUUAUUAUAGUUAUUAGUAUCUAUUAAGACACUUUUUAAGCUCUUAACCUUAGAUUAGGUAGGGAUACCUGCUAAACUUAAGCAUAUUAAUAAGCAGAGGAAAAGAAACUAAUAGGGAUUACCCUAGUAAUAGCAAGUAAAGCUGUAACAGCUUAAAUUUAAAAUCUAGCUCUUUUAGGGUCUAAGUUGUAAUUUGCAGAGAGCGCUUUAGUGUUAGUAGUAGUCUAAGUUCCUUAGAAUAGGAUAUUAUAGAGGGUAAGAAUCCUAUACAUAGUUACUAGCCUUUGCCGUGUAAAGCCCCUUUAACAAGUUAAGUUAUUUAGGAAUAUAGCUCUAAAUAGGAGGUAAAUUUCUUCUAAAGCUAAAUACUAGCUAGAGACUAAUAGCGCACAAGUAGAGUAAUAAAAAGAUAAAAAGCACUUUAAAAAGAGAGUUAAAUAGCACGUGAAAUUGUUAAAAGGGAAGCGCUUGCAGCUAGACUUGCCUAUAGUUGCUUCUCUAGGCUUUUGUCUAGUGCACUCUUUUAUAGGCAGGCUAGUAUUAGUUUAGGUAGUUAGAUAAAGGUCUCUAUUACCUACCUCCCUUUAGGGAGGCCUAUGGGGGGAGACAAUAUGUAACUAGCCUAGACUAUGGUCCGCGCAUCUACUAGGAUACUAGCGUAAUAGCUAUAAGCGGCCUAUCUUAUAAAUCCAGACUAAGGAGUCUAAUAUCUAUACAAGUGUUUAGGGGUUAAGCCUAGACGUGUAAUAAAAGUAAACAGAGGUAGGAACCCUUUUAGGGUGCACUAUUAACCAAUCCUAAUAUCUUUAGAAGGAUUUAAGUAAGAGUAUAGCUAUUAGGACCUAAAAGAUAGUAAACUAUGCUUAAAUAGGGUAAAGCUAGAGGAAACUCUAGUAGAGGCUCGUAGCAGUUCUAACGUGCAAAUUAAUUGUUAAAUUUAGGCAUAGGGGCAAAAGACUAAUUAAACUAUGUAGUAGCUAGUUCCUGCUAAAGUUUCCCUUAGGAUAGUAGUAACGUAUUUAGUUUUAUAAGGUAAAGCGAAUAAUUAGAGGCCUAGGGGUUAAAAUAACCUUUACCUAUUCUUAAACUUUAAAUAUGUAAGAAGUCCUUAUUACUUAAUUAAACGUAGACACUUAAAUAUACUAUUACUAGUAGGCUAUUUUUAGUAAGCAGAACUAGCGAUGCAGGAUAAACUAAACGUAGGGUUAAGGUGCUAGAAUGCACGCUUAUUAGACACUACAAAAGGUGUUAGUUUAUCUAGAUAGCAGGAUAGUAGCUAUAGAAGUUAGAAUCUACUAAGGAGUGUGUAAUAACUUACCUGCUAAAUAAACUAGCCCUAAAAAUAGAUAGCGCUUAAGCGUGUUACCUAUACCCCGCCGCCAGGGCAAGAUUUAAGCCCUAGCAAGUAGGCAGGCGUAGAGGCUUGUGACAAAGCCUUAGGGGUAACCCUAGGUAGAACAGCCUCUAGUGCAGAUCUUAGUAGUAGUAGCAAAUACUUAAAUAAGAACUUUAAGGACUAAAGUAGGGAAAGGUUCUAUAUAAAUAGCAGUUAGACAUAGGUUAGUUAAUCCUAAGAGAUAGGGUAAUUCUAUUUUAAUAUUAGUGCUUGCGCCAUACCCUUAAAAGGGAAGCUAGUUAAUAUUCUAGCACCUAGAUGUAGAUUCUCCGCGGCAACGCAACUAAGAGCAGAGACCUUAGCAGGAGCCCUAAGAAGAGUUCUCUUUUCUUCUUAACAGUCUAUUACCCUAAAAUUAGUUUGUCUAGAGCUAGGGUUUAAUAGCUAGAAGAGCGCUAUACUUUUAUAGUAUUUAGUGCGCUCCUAAUAAGCCUUAAAAAUCUACUUAAAGAAAUAGUUUUUACGCUAGGUUAUACUUAUAACCGUAGCAGGUCUCUAAGGUAAAAAGCCUCUAGUUAAUAGAACAAUGUAGAUAAGGGAAGUUAGCAAAAUAGAUCUGUAACUUUAGGAAAAGGAUUAGCUCUAAGGGUUAGGUACGUUAGGCCUUAGGGAGAAGCCUCUAGCGCAGAAGGGCACUAACUGCAAGGUGGGCGCCUCUUAGCGCUAGGGUGUAGACACCCUUAGUAGGUUUUGGCUGUCUAGCGUACGUUUAAUAACUAACUUAGAACUAGUAUAGAUAAGGGGAAUCUAACUAUCUAAUUAAAACAUAGUAUUACAAUAGCUAGAAAGUAGUAUUAAUAUAAUGUGAUUUCUGCCUAGUGCUCUAAAUAUUAAAGCAAAGAGAUUUAACUAAGCGCAGGUAAAUAGCAGGAGUAACUAUAACUCUCUUAAGGUAGCUAAAUGCCUUGUUAUCUAAUUAGUAACGCGCAUAAAUAGAUUAACAAGAUUCCUACUAUCCCUAUCUACUAUCUAGCGAAACUAUAGCUAAGGGAAUAGGCUUAGCUAAAUUAGCAGGGAAAGAAGACCCUAUUAAGCUUAACUCUAGUUUAACAUUAUAAAAAGAUAUAGGGGGUGUAGAAUAGGUAGGAGCUUUAGCGCUAGUAAAAUACUACUACCCUUAUUGUUUUUUUACUUAUUUAAUAAAGCAGAGCUAGGCCUUACUACCUAACUUCUAGCGUUUAAGGUCCUUUAUAGGCUAAUCUAGGUUAAAGAUAUUGUUAGGUAGGGAGUUUAGCUAGGGCAGCACAUCUAUUAAACUAUAACGUAGGUGUCCUAAGGGGGACUUAUAGAGAAUAGAAAUCUCUAGUAGAGUAAAAGGGCAAAAGUCCCCUUAAUUUUAAUUUUUAGUGUGAAUACAAACUAUAAAAGUAUAGCCUAUUAAUCCUUUAGUCCCUUAAAAUUUAAGGCUAGAGGUGCUAGAAAAGUUACUAUAGGGAUAACUGGCUUGUGGCAGCCAAGCGUUUAUAGCAACGUUGCUUUUUAAUCCUUUAAUAUUAGCUCUUCCUAUUAUACUAAAGUAGAAUUUAGUAAGCGUUAGAUUGUUUACCUACUAAUAGGGAACGUAAGCUAGGUUUAGACUAUUGUAAGAUAGGUUAGUUUUACCCUACUAAUAACCUUGCCCUAAUAGUAAUACCGCUUAGUACAAGAGGAACCGCGGUUUUAGAUAAUUAGUUUUUGCGGCUAUCUAACUAGGCAUUACUGCAAAGCUACUAUCUACUAGAUUAUAGCUAAACGCCUCUAAGUCAGAAUCCAUGCUAGAAUAGGGUGAUUUCCGCCUGCACUAGUUAGAUACAAAUAGGCCUUUGGCCUAGAACCUUACUAGAUUAGCGUUAGCAGCCCUAUUAAAGUUAGGGUUGUUAGCUAGUAUAUUACAAUUGUACAGUGCGCAGGAUUAAAUCCUUUGUAGAUAACUUAGUUGUCUAGCUAGGUCGUGUAAGUAGUUAAGUAGCCUUGUUGUUAUAAGCUACUAAGCGUAAGCCCGUUGCUAGCUUAGUUAAAAUUAGGAUAUUAUACCCUCCUUAUUUACAAAACUGCUACCUAAACAGCUACUAUUAAUAGAAGGAAGAGGGCUAUAGCAAACAAGUUAUAUAGUAAUUGCAAGAUAGAGAGGGCUAGAGCUAGGAGCAAUCCUCGCAAAAUAUAUAAAAGAACAGGUUGUGUGUGUACGUACCUUAGGCAGUUAAUAUAUAGUAUAGGAAGAUUAAGAAAGGAUUUAAGAUAAUCUAUAUAGAUUUUUAGGCAGUAAUCUAUAACUUAAGAGCGUUCUAUAACUUUUUAUUUUUUAGGGGUAGUAUUCUAUAACUCUAGGGCGUUCUAUAACUUUAGGGCGUUCUAUAACUUUAGGGCGUUCUAUAACUUUAGGGCGUUCUAUAACUUUUUAUUUUUUAGGGGUAGUGUUCUAUAACUUUAGGGCGUUCUAUACUUAAAAAAUCUUAUAGGCUAUUCUAUAACUAUAGAUUAUUCUAAACCUUUAGGGCAUUCUAUUAAUGUUUUAAAAAAUCUAGUAGGCUAUUUUAUAAGCUUAUAGCGUUCUAUAACUUUAGGGCGUUCUAUAACUUAGGGCGUUCUAUAACUUAGGGCGUUCUAUAACUUUUUACUUCUUAGGGGUAGUGUUCUAUAACUUAGGGCGUUCUAUACUUAAAAAAUCUUAUAGGCUAUUCUAUAACUAUAGAUUAUUCUAAACCUUUAGGGCAUUCUAUUAAUGUUUUAAAAAAUCUAGUAGGCUAUUUUAUAAGCUUAUAGCGUUCUAUAACUUUAGGGCGUUCUAUAACUUAGGGCGUUCUAUAACUUAGGGCGUUCUAUAACUUAGGGCGUUCUAUAACCUUUUACUUCUUAGGGGUAGUGUUCUAUAACUUAGGGCGUUCUAUAACCUUUUAUUUUUUAGGGGUAGUGUUCUAUAACUUAGGGCGUUCUAUAACUUUUUAUUUUUAGGGGUAGUGUUCUAUAACUUAGGGCGUUCUAUAACCUUUUAUUUUUUAGGGGUAGUGUUCUAUAACUUAGGGCGUUCUAUAACUUUUUAUUUUUAGGGGUAGUGUUCUAUAACUUAGGGCGUUCUAUACCUUUUGUUUAUUCUAUUACUUUAGUGCUUUCUAUAACUUUAGACUAUUCUAUAAUAGUAGCUAUUAUAUCCUUUUUAUAAUCCUUAUAGUAUUAUACUAUUAUCUAUUAUUCUUUACUCUUAAGUAUAUCCUUAUAUUUUAUAAAUCUUUUUCUUUACUAGCUAGUCCUACUAUACUUUUUUAUAACCUACUAGUAUUAAAUAAUACCUUUAUAUUCUUCCUCUAUACUAUCUCUAUUUCUUGCCUUAUAUAUUAAGUAGAUAUAGAUAGAGCUAAUAGAUCUAUAGUUAAUAUAGAUAAAGUAGUUAUAGUAGAGUAUAGAUAUUAGAGUAGAGAUCCUUAUCUAUAUAUUUACCUACUACUAAUAGAAUUCUAAGUUACUCUUAUCUAGCGAAUACGGGUUUAUAGUUUUUAUAGGGCUGCGCAUAUCUACACAGUUUUAUAUAUAAAAAAGUGUACCUAUAAGCUAUUUUCUGCCGCACUAACCCCGCGACGCAAAAAUUAAACUAAAACCUGUUCCUAUAAUAUAUAAGGAGGGCAAAUAGAUUCUUAAAUACUAAAUGCCUAACUAACUAACUAAGGUUAAAUCUGCUGCGCGCAGUUCUUAGAUUAGGCAGUUAAACUAGCGUUAUUAGGCACUAAGGGGGCAAUUUUUGCUUGUGUCCGCGUCUAUACUCCCUAUAACUCCCUAUUGUUAGCGCUCUACGCCUAUUUUAGUGGUAGUUAGACUAAAUUUAAAAGUUUUAGUUUUAUAAUAGCUAGCCUUAUUUCCUAGAUUUCUGCCUAGUUUAGAUUUACUCUAAUUAGUAGGUAAUUAGGGGCUUAGAGAUUGCUCUUCUACUUAACUAGGCAGGCCUAGGCCUAUAUGCUAAAGCAACCCUGCUAUUACGCCUAGUUUUAUAGUUAGCACCUAAAGUCCUACUAUUAAAGUUUUAGUAGUAGGUAAAAUUUAGGGUUUAUAGAUAGCUAGCACUACUAAACUAUUUAACAGAUCUUAGGGGAUAGCCCUACCUAGCAUCCGCUCCUAGUAAGCGUGGCAAAGCGUAGGUUUUCUCUACUUAAGGCAUGUAUAUAGCGAGUUUAAAUACGUAGAAACGCCUAUUAGGCUUUAUUGCAGACUAUUCCUUAAGAAACUUAGUAGGGGCAAUUAAAUUAGUUGCUAGUUGUAACUAGUGCCUUAUGUGCUAUUAUACUAGUAGCUAGAAUUACUUCUGCGAUUUCUUAUCACGUACUUUCCACCUCCUUUUAGGGGUAGUGCUUAUGCGCUUUAGCGUAUUAGGUAUUAGGAUUGUUACCUAGUUAAUUCUACUAGUAGUUAUAUACUUAUCUUAAAGAUUAAGCCAUGUAUAUCUAAGUAUAAGCAAUUAUACUGUAAAACUGCAAAUAGCUUAUUAAAUUAGUUAUUAUUUAUUUAAUAGUACCUUACUACUUAGAUAACUAUAGUAAUUCUAGAGCUAAUACAUGCUAAAAACCCUAACUUUAGAAGGGGUGUAUUUAUUAGAUAAAAAACUAACGCCCUUUAGGGCUUCUUAGUAAUUUAUAAUAACUUUACAGAUCGCAUAGCCUUACGCUAGCGAUAGUUCAUUUAAAUUUCUGCCCUAUUAACUUUU
rnacentral:rRNA from 1 species